rnacentral:rRNA from 1 species
UACGAAGGGGGCUAGCGUUGCUCGGAAUCACUGGGCGUAAAGGGUGCGUAGGCGGGACUUUAAGUCCGGGGUGAAAUCCUGGAGCUCAACUCCAGAACUGCCUUUGAUACUGAGGAUCUUGAGUUCGGGAGAGGUGAGUGGAACUGCGAGUGUAGAGGUGAAAUUCGUAGAUAUUCGCAAGAACGCCAGUGGCGAAGGCGGCUCACUGGCCCGAUGCUGACGCUGAGGCACGAAAGCGUGGGGAGCGAACAGG